rfam:Ipomoea nil DNA, scaffold: scaffold1895, cultivar: Tokyo-kokei standard.
GUGGCUAUAGUUUAGUGGUAAGAAUUCCACAUUGUGGCCUUGGAGACUUGGGCUCGAAUCCCAGCAGCCACA